GAUGAACGCUGCGGCGUGCCUAAUACAUGCAAGUCGAGCGAACAGACGAGGAGCUUGCUCCUCUGACGUUAGCGGCGGACGGGUGAGUAACACGUGGAUAACCUACCUAUAAGACGGGGAUAACUUCGGGAAACCGGAGCUAAUACCGGAUAAUAUAUUUAACCGCAUGGUUCAAUAGUGAAAGACGGUUUUGCUGUCACUUAUAGAUGGAUCCGCGCCGCAUUAGCUAGUUGGUAAGGUAACGGCUUACCAAGGCAACGAUGCGUAGCCGACCUGAGAGGGUGAUCGGCCACCCUGGAACUGAGACACGGUCCAGACUCCUACGGGAGGCAGCAGUAGGGAAUUUUCCGCAAAGGGCGAAAGCCUGACGGAGCAACGCCGCGUGAGUGAUGAAGGUCUUCGGAUCGUAAAACUCUGUUAUUAGGGAAGAACAAAUGUGUAAGUAAAUAUGCACGUCUUGACGGUACCUAAUCAGAAAGCCACGGCUAACUACGUG
rnacentral:rRNA from 1 species